rnacentral:rRNA from 1 species
GAUGAACGCUGGCGGCGUGCCUAAUACAUGCAAGUCGAGCGAACGGACGAGAAGCUUGCUUCUCUGAUGUUAGCGGCGGACGGGUGAGUAACACGUGGAUAACCUACCUAUAAGACUGGGAUGACUUCGGGAAACCGUAGCUAAUACCGGAUAAUAUUUUGAACCGCAUGGUUCAAAAGUGAAAGACGGUCUUGCUGUCACCUAUAGAUGGAUCCGCGCUGCAUUAGCUAGUUGGUAAGGUAACGGCUUACCAAGGCAACGAUGCAUAGCCGACCUGAGAGGGUGAUCGGCCACACUGGAACUGAGACACGGUCCAGACUCCUACGGGAGGCAGCAGUAGGGAAUCUUCCGCAAUGGGCGAAAGCCUGACGGAGCAACGCCGCGUGAGUGAUGAAGGUCUUCGGAUCGUAAAACUCUGUUAUUAGGGAAGAACAUAUGUGUAAGUAACUGUGCACAUCUUGACGGUUCCUAAUCAGAAAGCCACGGCUAACUACGUG